rnacentral:rRNA from 1 species
CAGUAGCCGCGGGAAAACGAAGGGUGCAAGCGUUACUCGGAAUUACUGGGCGUAAAGCGUGCGUAGGUGGUGGUUUAAGUCCGUUGUGAAAGUCCUGGGCUCAACCUGGGAAUUGCAGUGGAUACUGGGUCACUAGAGUGUGGUAGAGGAUAGUGGAAUUUCCGGUGUAGCAGUGAAAUGCGUAGAGAUCGGAAGGAACAUCUGUGGCGAAGGCGACUAUCUGGGCCAACACUGACACUGAGGCACGAAAGCGUGGGGAGCAAACAGGAUUAGAUACCCCCGUAGUCCCUGUCUCUUAUAC